AGAGUUUGCUUUUGGCUCAGGAUGAACGCUGGCGGCGUGCUUAACACAUGCAAGUCGAACGAAGCGAUAGGAAGGAAGUUUUCGGAUGGAAUUCAUAUUGACUGAGUGGCGGACGGGUGAGUAACGCGUGGGUAACCUGCCUCAUACAGGGGGAUAACAGUUAGAAAUGACUGCUAAUACCGCAUAAGCACACAGAAUCGCAUGAUUCGGUGUGAAAAACUCCGGUGGUAUGAGAUGGACCCGCGUCUGAUUAGCUAGUUGGUGGGGUAAAGGCCUACCAAGGCGACGAUCAGUAGCCGACCUGAGAGGGUGAUCGGCCACAUUGGGACUGAGACACGGCCCAAACUCCUACGGGAGGCAGCAGUGGGGAAUAUUGCACAAUGGGGGAAACCCUGAUGCAGCAACGCCGCGUGAGUGAAGAAGUAUUUCGAUAUGUAAAGCUCUAUCAGCAGGGAAGAAGAUGACGGUACCUGAGUAAGAAGCCCCGGCUAACUACGUGCCAGCAGCCGCGGUAAUACGUAGGGGGCAAGCGUUAUCCGGAUUUACUGGGUGUAAAGGGAGCGUAGACGGCAUAGCAAGUCUGAAGUGAAAGCCCAAGGCUCAACCAUGGGACUGCUUUGGAAACUGUUAAGCUAGAGUGCUGGAGAGGUGAGCGGAACUCCUAGUGUAGCGGUGAAAUGCGUAGAUAUUAGGAAGAACACCAGUGGCGAAGGCGGCUUACUGGACAGUAACUGACGUUGAGGCUCGAAAGCGUGGGGAGCAAACAGGAUUAGAUACCCUGGUAGUCCACGCUGUAAACGAUGA
rnacentral:rRNA from 1 species